CUACGAGAUGAAUGUGGCAAAUGAAAAUAUAGAAUGGACAACUGUAUCGGAACAAUAAAGGAAACAUGAAGUUGAGCUAGAUACAAUUUCAAACGAUCUUUGAAAAUGCUUAGGGAUGAACAUAAGCCAAAUUUAUUAAAAAAGAAAUUGAAGUAAUUAGCACCUUUGAAGGUUAUACUACGUUCACCAGACAAAGUGGAAA